UGGGAACGUGCCCAAAGGUACGGAACAACUCCGGGAAACUGGAGCUAAUACCGUAUGUGCCCGAAAGGGGAAAGAUUCAUCGCCUUUGGAUCGGCCCGCGUCUGAUUAGCUAGUUGGUAGGGUAAUGGCCUACCAAGGCUACGAUCAGUAGCUGGU
rnacentral:rRNA from 1 species